UACGUAGGGUGCAAGCGUUUGUCCGGAAUUAUUGGGCGUAAAGGGCUCGUAGGCGGUCCAUCGCGUCGGGAGUGAAAAGCUGGGGCUCAACCCCAGUCCUGCUUCCGAUACGGGUGGACUAGAGGUAUGCAGGGGAGAACGGAAUUCCUGGUGUAGCGGUGAAAUGCGCAGAUAUCAGGAGGAACACCGGUGGCGAAGGCGGUUCUCUGGGCCUUACCUGACGCUGAGGAGCGAAAGCGUGGGGAGCGAACAGG
rnacentral:rRNA from 1 species